AACGAACGCUGGCGGCAGGCUUAACACAUGCAAGUCGAACGGUUGUAGCAAUACAGCAGUGGCAGACGGGUGAGUAACACGUGGGAACCUUCCUAGGGGUACGGAACAACUCAGGGAAACUUGAGCUAAUACCGUAUACGUCCGUGAGGAGAAAGAUUUAUCGCCCUUAGACGGGCCCGCGUAGGAUUAGGUAGUUGGUG
rnacentral:rRNA from 1 species